rnacentral:rRNA from 1 species
GGGUUGUGAGGUUAAGCGACUAAGCGUACACGGUGGAUGCCCUGGCAGUCAGAGGCGAUGAAGGACGUGCUAAUCUGCGAAAAGCGUCGGUAAGGUGAUAUGAACCGUUAUAACCGGCGAUGUCCGAAUGGGGAAACCCAGUGUGUUUCGACACACUAUCAUUAACUGAAUCCAUAGGUUAAUGAGGCGAACCGGGGGAACUGAAACAUCUAAGUACCCCGAGGAAAAGAAAUCAACCGAGAUUCCCCCAGUAGCGGCGAGCGAACGGGGAGGAGCCCAGAGCCUGAAUCAGUGUGUGUGUUAGUGGAAGCGUCUGGAAAGGCGCGCGAUACAGGGUGACAGCCCCGUACACAAAAAUGCACAUGCUGUGAGCUCGAUGAGUAGGGCGGGACACGUGGUAUCCUGUCUGAAUAUGGGGGGACCAUCCUCCAAGGCUAAAUACUCCUGACUGACCGAUAGUGAACCAGUACCGUGAGGGAAAGGCGAAAAGAACCCCGGCGAGGGGAGUGAAAAAGAACCUGAAACCGUGUACGUACAAGCAGUGGGAGCCCUGAUUUAUCAGGGUGACUGCGUACCUUUUGUAUAAUGGGUCAGCGACUUAUAUUCUGUAGCAAGGUUAACCGAAUAGGGGAGCCGGAGGGAAACCGAGUCUUAACUGGGCGUUAAGUUGCAGGGUAUAGACCCGAAACCCGGUGAUCUAGCCAUGGGCAGGUUGAAGGUUGGGUAACACUAACUGGAGGACCGAACCGACUAAUGUUGAAAAAUUAGCGGAUGACUUGUGGCUGGGGGUGAAAGGCCAAUCAAACCGGGAGAUAGCUGGUUCUCCCCGAAAGCUAUUUAGGUAGCGCCUCGUGAAUUCAUCUCCGGGGGUAGAGCACUGUUUCGGCAAGGGGGUCAUCCCGACUUACCAACCCGAUGCAAACUGCGAAUACCGGAGAAUGUUAUCACGGGAGACACACGGCGGGUGCUAACGUCCGUCGUGAAGAGGGAAACAACCCAGACCGCCAGCUAAGGUCCCAAAGUCAUGGUUAAGUGGGAAACGAUGUGGGAAGGCCCAGACAGCCAGGAUGUUGGCUUAGAAGCAGCCAUCAUUUAAAGAAAGCGUAAUAGCUCACUGGUCGAGUCGGCCUGCGCGGAAGAUGUAACGGGGCUAAACCAUGCACCGAAGCUGCGGCAGCGACACUGUGUGUUGUUGGGUAGGGGAGCGUUCUGUAAGCCUGUGAAGGUGUGCUGUGAGGCAUGCUGGAGGUAUCAGAAGUGCGAAUGCUGACAUAAGUAACGAUAAAGCGGGUGAAAAGCCCGCUCGCCGGAAGACCAAGGGUUCCUGUCCAACGUUAAUCGGGGCAGGGUGAGUCGACCCCUAAGGCGAGGCCGAAAGGCGUAGUCGAUGGGAAACAGGUUAAUAUUCCUGUACUUGGUGUUACUGCGAAGGGGGGACGGAGAAGGCUAUGUUGGCCGGGCGACGGUUGUCCCGGUUUAAGCGUGUAGGCUGGUUUUCCAGGCAAAUCCGGAAAAUCAAGGCUGAGGCGUGAUGACGAGGCACUACGGUGCUGAAGC